rnacentral:rRNA from 1 species
UAAAAAUUUAAUUUAUAAUAUUUAAGUAGUAUUAGUUAAGAUCUUGAAAUUUAAAAAAUUUGGCGGUAUUUUAGUCUAUUCAGAGGAACCUGUUUUGUAAUCGAUAAUCCACGAUGGAUCUUACUUAAAUUUGUUUUUAUAGUUUAUAUAUCGUCGUUUAAUUGAAUAUUUUAUUAGAAUAUUAAUAUUCUUAAUUUUUUAUUUUAAAAUAUAUCAGAUCAAGAUGUAGCUUAUAUUUAAGUUUAUAGUGGGUUACAAUUAAAUUAUUAUUGGAAAUAAAUUUGUAAUAGUUUAUUGAAAUUGGAUUUGAUAGUAAAUUUAUAUAGAUUAUUAAAUUGAUUAUAGCUCUAAAAUAUG